rnacentral:rRNA from 1 species
AAUGGGCGCAAGCCUGAUGCAGCCAUGCCGCGUGUAUGAAGAAGGCCUUCGGGUUGUAAAGUACUUUCAGCGGGGAGGAAGGUGUUGCGGUUAAUAACCGCAGCAAUUGACGUUACCCGCAGAAGAAGCACCGGCUAACUCCGUGCCAGCAGCCGCGGUAAUACGGAGGGUGCAAGCGUUAAUCGGAAUUACUGGGCGUAAAGCGCACGCAGGCGGUCUGUCAAGUCGGAUGUGAAAUCCCCGGGCUCAACCUGGGAACUGCAUUCGAAACUGGCAGGCUUGAGUCUUGUAGAGGGGGGUAGAAUUCCAGGUGUAGCGGUGAAAUGCGUAGAGAUCUGGAGGAAUACCGGUGGCGAAGGCGGCCCCCUGGACAAAGACUGACGCUCAGGUGCGAAAGCGUGGGGAGCAAA